rnacentral:lncRNA from 1 species
ACUGCAGUUUCAGCCGGGAACCCCUCCCCUCGUCCUCCUGACGUCGCCGCUGACAAGCGCACAAUUCACUCCCAACGCCCCGAAACCCGCGGUUUUGCACCGAGCUGUGCGGUGGACGCGAAUAUACAACCGAUUACAAAGAACAUUCCUCAGGAGCCUCGCGGGGCCCGAGUUUGUGGGAAGGAGCGGGAGGAGGGAGGGACCGAGACGCGGCGGGAGCCCGGCCGACCACCGCCCCGGAACCGGGGCCCGGGCUGGGGCCCUUUCCGCGUAAAGACGGCGAGGGAGGUGCCCGGGGGACGCGGACCGUGGCCGUGCGCAGCGCCGCGGUCGCCACUGCCGGGGGGCGGGGGCGGGGGCGGGGGGGGCGCUCGGCUCGGCGGGGUCGGGGCCCGGGAGCGCGGACGCCGCGCCGGCAAGCCCUGGAGAAGACCGUCCCCAAACUUCUGGAGACCCGCUUGCAGUUUCGCUUUCGGAAUUUUCGGGAUCUUCGGGUUUCCAGAGUUGGGUGGCAUUCCGGGAAUUGCAGGGCGCCAGGCGCGGGCCGUGCGGAUGCUCGGGGCGGACUCCUCACCACCCCCCGCGCCCCCUCGCUUGCGCCCCCGGACCCCGCGCGCGCGCGCUCCAGGGUUUGGGGCUCCCAGCCCCGCGCGCGCAGCGAGAGCCCCGGCCGCGGAGAGCGCCCGCCCCGGCGGAUCCCAGCCCACUGGUGGGAGUCCGCGUUCGACCAGGGCAGACCCUUCCCCGAAUCCGGAUCCAUCGCCGCUGCCCUCCAGUUUUCCCUCACCCCUCCACCCCCCACACCGAGGCCGAGCGACCUGGGGGACCGAUUGGCGUGUCUACACCAAGCCCGUGGAUCCAGGUUUCACCAGGUCGGAGAAAACGCGACAACAGGCUUACAUUUUGGCACCGCGUUCUGGGGGAGGCCAGGUUGGGGGUGGGGAGGGAGGUGGAGCGGGUGCAGAGGCGGAGGGGAGAGGCCUUGGUGUCCAGAAGGAAUUGUUGCCCAGGCUCUCCCUUGCAGAUAGGAGAUCUGCUACUUUCUCCCUAGUAAGCAUUAAAUUGGCACACACGCUGCUUCCUCCCUUCCAUAAAUAA